ncrna:unclassified sequences EGFOA RNA
ACUUUCCCAGAUUUUGUCCCGUCGUAGAUGGCAGUCGAAACGAACUCUUUAGAGUGGUAGGUAAAGCUACACCUGGGCUACCUUAGUAUUAACUAUGAAGUUUCGAU